AUGUUUAUUGAGAAUAGUCAACGGAAGGAUGGAUCAUGGUUUGGCAUUUGGGGUAUAUGUUUCACUUAUGGAACAUUAUUUGCUGUAAAAGGGUUAAUUGCUGCUGGAAGUACUUACGACAAUAGUUCCUUCAUAAGAAAAGCAUGCAACUUUCUAUUGUCAAAGCAGCUAAGUACAGGUGGAUGGGGUGAGACUUAUCUUUCAAGUGAAACUAAGUCUUAUGUGGAUGCUACUAGUCCUCACGCGGUGAACACUGCUUGGGCAAUGUUGGCUUUAGUUUAUGCUGGGCAGGUUGAACGAGAUCCCACACCAUUGUAUCAUGCCGCAAAAGAAUUGAUGAAUAUGCAACUAGACACAGGGGAGUUUCCCCAGCAAGAACAUGUUGGAUGCUUCAAUUGCUCCGUGUACUUCAAUUAUGGCAACUACUGCAACUUAUAUCCCAUCUGGGCUAUUGGAGAGUUUCGUCGUUGA
rnacentral:rRNA from 1 species